AGCGGCGGACGGGUGAGUAACACGUGGGCAACCUGCCCUGAAGCGGGGGAUAACAUCUGGAAACAGGUGCUAAUACCGGAUAACAACAUGAAUCGCAUGAUUCAAGUUUGAAAGGCGGCGCAAGCUGUCACUUUAGGAUGAGCCCGCGGCGCAUUAGCUAGUUGGUGGGGUAAAGGCCUACCAAGGCAAUGAUGCGUAGCCGAGUUGAGAGACUGAUCGGCCACAUUGGGACUGAGACACGGCCCAAACUCCUACGGGAGGCAGCAGUAGGGAAUCUUCCACAAUGGACGCAAGUCUGAUGGAGCAACGCCGCGUGAGUGAAGAAGGUUUUCGGAUCGUAAAGCUCUGUUGUUGGUGAAGAAGGAUAGAGGCAGUAACUGGUCUUUAUUUGACGGUAAUCAACCAGAAAGUCACGGCUAACUACGUGCCAGCAGCCGCGGUAAUACGUAGGUGGCAAGCGUUGUCCGGAUUUAUUGGGCGUAAAGCGAGCGCAGGCGGAAUGAUAAGUCUGAUGUGAAAGCCCACGGCUCAACCGUGGAACUGCAUCGGAAACUGUCAUUCUUGAGUGCAGAAGAGGAGAGUGGAACUCCAUGUGUAGCGGUGAAAUGCGUAGA
rnacentral:rRNA from 1 species